rnacentral:lncRNA from 1 species
UGAAGGCCCAGGAGUUCAAAUCCAGCCUGGGCAACACAAUGAGACCCUGUCUUAAAAAAAAAAAAAAAUCAGCAAGCUGGGAAAUAAACUUGGGGCACACUGGGCACUUCGUCAUGAGGAAACCAAAAUCUCCUGCCUUGGCAAGCUUCAGGAGCCAUAUAAGGACUGAGCCAGCCUCACCCAUUACACUGUGUAGGGACACUCUUCAGCAACGACAUCAUGUGGCAGAAGAAAACAUGGCCAUAGGGGAUUCCUUCAUUGUGCAAUUACCUAUAAGAAGAAGAAAAGGAAGAAAAGAGGAAGAAGAACGAGGAGGAGGAGGAGGUCUAAAAAGGAAAUGCUUAAAUUCUUGCUGAAAGGAGUGGGAAGAAGAGGGAGCUUGGAGAAGCUUUGAGCAGGUCCUGAAUAGGCAAGUGAGGGGCUUGCCUUAACCCUACAGGAUUCUCAGUCUCCACGUCUACCUCCCACAACAUGUGCAAAUGCUUACAUUCAUGGUGGGUUUCUCCCUCUCCCUUGGAUCCCCAAAGCAGCAAGAGCUGGUGUGGAGCACUCCCCAGUCUAGGCUGGGGGACGCAAGGAGAAGCCAUCCUCACAGCAGUCUCUUCCUGAGAGAUGCUAAGGCGGUGGAGAGACUGCAUAAUGUGCCUUUCCAGGGGGUGUUUCUCUCUAUUGAUUAUUUGAACUGUUAAACUUGAUUACAUUUUACUUUAAUUGUACCAUUUGAAAUUAGAUUCAGGUAAGAUUUCAAACUUAUUAAAUAAAUGGCCCAUAGGACA